rnacentral:rRNA from 1 species
AACGAACGCUGGCGGCGUGCCUAACACAUGCAAGUCGUACGGGAAAGUGGGCUUCGGCCCGCGAGUAGAGUGGCAGACGGGUGAGUAACACGUGGGUAACCUACCCGGAGGUGGGGGAUAACCUUCCGAAAGGAGGGCUAAUCCGCAUGACAUCUCAGGGGGCCUCGGCCCCGGAGAGCAAAAGCUAGCCUCUACAUGUAAGCUAGCGCCACCGGAUGGGCCCGCGGCCCAUUAGCUAGUUGGNGGGGUAACCGGCCCACCAAGGCGACGAUGGGUAGCCGGCCUGAGAGGGUGUCCGGCCACACUGGAACUGAGACACGGUCCAGACUCCUACGGGAGGCAGCAGUGAGGAAUCUUGCGCAA